UUUAUGGAGAGUUUGAUCCUGGCUCAGGAUAAACGCUGGCGGCGUGCCUAAUACAUGCAAGUCGAGCGAACGGACGAGAAGCUUGCUUCUCUGAUGUUAGCGGCGGACGGGUGAGUAACACGUGGAUAACCUACCUAUAAGACUGGGAUAACUUCGGGAAACCGGAGCUAAUACCGGAUAAUAUUUUGAACCGCAUGGUUCAAAAGUGAAAGACGGUCUUGCUGUCACUUAUAGAUGGAUCCGCGCUGCAUUAGCUAGUUGGUAAGGUAACGGCUUACCAAGGCAA
rnacentral:rRNA from 1 species